rnacentral:rRNA from 1 species
ACGCACGCUGGCGGCGUGCUUAACACAUGCCCGUCGAACGGAAAGGCCCCUUUGGGGGUCCUCGAGUGGCGACCGGGUGAGUAACACGUGAGUAACCUGCCCUUGACUUCGGGAUAACUUCAGGAAACUGGGGCUAAUACCGGAUAGGAAUCCUUGCUGCAUGGUGGGGGUUGGAAAGCUUCGGCGGUUUUGGAUGGACUCGCGGCUUAUCAGCUUGUUGGUGGGGUAGUGGCUUACCAAGGCUUUGACGGGUAGCCGGCCUGAGAGGGCGACCGGCCACAUUGGGACUGAGAGACGGCCCAGACUCCUACGGGAGGCAGCAGUGGGGAAUAUUGCACAAUGGGCGGAAGCCUGAUGCAGCAACGCCGCGUGCGGGAUGACGGCCUUCGGGUUGUAAACCGCUUUCAGCAGGGGCGAAGCUUGUGGUGACGGUACCUGCAGAAGAAGCACCGGCUAACUACGUG